rnacentral:rRNA from 1 species
GAUGAACGCUAGCGGCAGGCUUAAUACAUGCAAGUCGAGGGGCAGCAUGGGUAGCAAUACCUGAUGGCGACCGGCAAACGGGUGCGGAACACGUACGCAACCUUCCUAAAACUGGUGAAUAGCCCUCCGAAAGGAGGAUUAACACACCGUAACAUAAUGAAGUGGCAUCAUUUUAUUAUUAUAACUCCGGUGGUUUUGGAUGGGCGUGCGGCUGAUUAGGUAGUUGGCGGGGUAACGGCCCACCAAGCCUGCGAUCAGUAACUGGUGUGAGAGCACGACCAGUCACACGGGCACUGAGACACGGGCCCGACUCCUACGGGAGGCAGCAGUAAGGAAUAUUGGUCAAUGGACGAAAGUCUGAACCAGCCAUGCCGCGUGAAGGAUGAAGGUCCUCUGGAUUGUAAACUUCUUUUAUAGGGGACGAAAAAAGGGAAUUCUUUCUCACUUGACGGUACCCUAGGAAUAAGCACCGGCUAACUCCGUGCCAGCAGCCGCGGUAAUACGGAGGGUGCAAGCGUUAUCCGGAUUCACUGGGUUUAAAGGGAGCGUAGGUGGGCAAGUAAGUCAGCGGUGAAAUCUCUGGGCUUAACCCGGAAACUGCCAUUGAUACUAUCUGUCUUGAAUAUUCUGGGAGGUAAGCGGAAUAUGUCAUGUAGCGGUGAAAUGCUUAGAUAUGACAUAGAACACCCA